GACCAUCCCUUCUAAUUUCUAUUUUUGGUUUUCAAUCAUUAUCUCGCACUCUGGUUUUUAUUAUUUUUGGGUUUUUUUGUAAGUCGAACAGAUAGAUGUCAAAAGCAUAUAUCAACAUCCUCAUGAUCUUCUUAGUUUUCUCCAUCUCAUUUGCUCUAAACCCUAAUCGCUUCCUUCAACCCAUACCACAAAGGGUCACCUAUCGAUUUCAUAUAUCAAAUCAAUAUUAUGUGUUCUUCCCCACUGCUAUAUGUUCUUCCUCUGCUGCUCUGCCUUCACUGUCUUCUUAUUUGAACUCUCUUUUUAGUUUUCGAUCAUAAAUACAUACCCAGGUGCGAAACUCUAUUUUUCUAUUACUCUAGUGUAUUUUUUACGUGAAGUAUAUCAAAUUCAAGUCAACAAUUUUACUUCAACCCUAAUUACACAAGCGACUAUCUUUUGGAUUACAUUAUCAUAUGGAUUUCUCGAUGCCACCUUACAGAAUUCAACUGGAGAAUCACUUGAAGGUGUGAAUUUUACUAGCAUUUUCUGCUGCCACUGAGGUAUCAGAGCUUCAACAAAUGUGGAAAGAGAGAACCAUUAGUAGUGUGUGAAGGUGUAUCGACUCAAUGAUGAUGAAAAAUGGGAUGAUUAAGGGACUAGUCAUGUCACUGUUGACUAUUUAGAGAGAUAUGAAGAAUUGGGCUUGUUUGUUGUUAAUGAAGAAGACAAUGAAACCCUGCUAAUGCACCGAAUUUGCUCUGAUGAUAUAUAUCACAAACAAGAAGGAAUUAGAGUUUUCAAGUGAAAUAGCUCUUAGCUUUCAAGAAACCACAGGGUGCACAUACACAUGAUGAGUCAUAUCAUGGGGCUAAUAAUGAGUUAAGGGAGCUGUCAGCAGUAGAAGUUAAACUUACAUUUAUAUUUUACUUUGAGUAUUUUUCUUAUAAAAUUGGUGUUAAAUAAUAUUUUUUCUUGCAGGUUGUGGUUGAUGGUAGUGUUACAGAUCAGCCGUGUGUAACAGAGCUCAUACUACAUGAUUUCUACUCAACAGUCCUCAAAUCUUUGAGAAAAUAUUUGGUGAUGAAUUCAUCAUGGAUAUUAUUGGGUGUCUGCCCAUUAAUUAUCUCGUCAAGAUCUUGUGAGCUGGAAAAUGCCCUUGACAAAAGGCUGCUUCCUGUACCUGAUGUACCUUAUAGAUUAUGGAAUCACGUGUUUGUUGUUUGAAAUGUUUAACAUGCUAUGUGACUUAGCUUGCAAAAACUACAAAAUGAUUGAUAUUUUUAUUUUGGAGAAUCUAUAAAAAAGGAUAUUUAUAUUUUGGUUUUAUUGAUAAAAAGGUUAAUUUUGAAUUUUUUUUAUUUUUAUUUUAUUUUAGCAAUUUAACCAUUAAAACCGGUAAACAAUUGCAAAACAAUCUUUGUAACCGAUUUGGGUCGGUUUUAAAGGUUAGAAAAACAAGCAGAUCAAACAACAAACACGUGAUUCCAUAAUCAUAUAAUCUAAGAUGGAAACUAAAAUUGCGACGUGUGGUCCCUAUUUUGGGUGUUCCAGAUGCACUUGUACGAAUUGAAAUGCCAGUCUCAUAGAUAAAUCUGCUUCUCAGAGAAACAUCUGCCAUUUGGAUUUUUGUUGAUGUUUUAAGCACACAACCUCCGGGACAAUAUGAUGGAGAAUUUAGAGUUACCGCUACAAAAGCAGAUGCAGAAUAUGCAACACAAUUUCUUGGUAAAUCUGAGAAACAUCAACUAUACAGGGAACUAAAAAAUUGUCUUGAUGUCAUUGAGCCAAUUGAUGGGAAAACAGUUGAAGAAGUGGUAGAAAGAGUAAAAUAUGCAAAUACAACUUUGAGAAGAGUUCUUCUAUCAUUUUCAUUUUCUGAAUUCUUUUCAGAAAAUUGUCCCCUAGAUAUGAUAGAUGAAGAUGCAAACCUUUCGAUAUGUGUGUAGCUAAGUUUGACAGUUUGGGACUUUGUUCUUCUGGAAACGCCCUCGCUUCUAACUGUCAUCGGUUUAUCCUAAAAUCCUCCAAUUUAGUUUCAUGACUAUUCUUUUUGCGAAUGUCUACAUUCAUUAAUAACAUGUAAGAUAUCCGAUACUGUAAUUGAAUAUCGUUAUAGUGUUAAACAUGGAAGUGCUAAAUGGUAUGAUGCAUUAGAACAACAUUUUAAGUGGCUUCUUCAAUAUAAAAUCAGUCCUUACUUCUGCAAA